rnacentral:rRNA from 1 species
GGGCAACUCAUUUUGACUUGAAGGGAAGCACUUGUUAGCCAGGCAAGCCAAUGCGGGAGCAAUCCCGGAGGAUGGCGAGUCAUAACAAUUGAGCGAAUCGCAAGCCCUUGAGGCGGCGAUGCACCAUUCAAACUUCUGCCCUACCAACUUUCGAUGGUAGGAUCGGGGCCUACCAUGGUCGUAACGGGUAACGGGGAAUUAGGGUUUGAUUCCGGAGAGGGAGCUCGAGAAACGGCUACCACUUCCAAGGAAGGCAGCAGGCGCGCAAAUUACCCACUGGCGACACGCCGAGGUAGUGACAACAAAUAAGUAGGUAGGUCUCAUUAGGGAUUUGCCAUACGAAUGAGUACAAUUUAAACCCCUUAACGAAAGCCACUGGAGGGCAAGUCUGGUGCCAGCAGCCGCGGUAAUUCCAGCUCCAGUAGCGUAUAUUAAAGCUGUUGCGGUUAAAAAGCUCGUAGUCGGAACUGAAGACUGUCAGAAGACUGGUCCAUGCAUAGUCAUGAGUACUGGUCAUCGAGUCUUUAUAAACUUCUGGAUGCCUGCUCCUGCUCUUUAUUGAGUGGAAGUAACAAGCAAGCUGUGUUGGCAACAAUGCAGAUUGUGAAGGUUCCAGAUCGAUUACUUUGAGAAAAUUAGAGUGUUCAAAGCAGGCGGUCACGCCUUGAAUACAUUAGCAUGGGAUAAUGCCAUGGGACUCUGAGCCCAUUUCGUUGGUUUCUGGGAAUGGAGUCACGAUCAACAGGGACAGUUGGGGUGAUUCAUAUUUUGCCGACAGGGGUGAAAUCCUAUGACCGGCGAAAGAUGAACUAGUGCGAAAGCAUUUCACAAGGAUGUUUUCAUUGAUCAAGAACGAAAGUUGAGGGAUCGGAGGCGAUCAGAUACCGCCCUAGUCUCAACCAUAAACCAUGCCGACCAGGGAUCGGGAGACGUUCAAAUUAUACGACUCCCCCGGCACCUUGUGAGAAAUCACAAGUCUUUGGGCUUCGGGGGGAGUAUGGUCGCAAGGCUGAAACUUAAAGGAAUUGACGGAACGACACCACCAGGAGUGGAGCCUGCAGCUUAAUUCGACUCAACACGGGAAAACUCACCAGGUCCAGACAGCGGAAGGAUGUACAGACUUGCAGAUCUUUAUUGAUUCGCUGGGUGGUGGUGCAUGGCCGUUCUUGGCUCGUGCGUUGACUUGUCUGGUUAAUUCCGUUAACGAGCGAGACCUCAGCCUGCUAAAUAGUCAGUGGACUCCUUUUCAC